rnacentral:rRNA from 1 species
GAAGCACUUAGGAAAGAUUCUUCGGAGGAUUCCUAUUUGACUGAGCGGCGGACGGGUGAGUAACGCGUGGGUAACCUGCCUCAUACAGGGGGAUAACAGUUAGAAAUGACUGCUAAUACCGCAUAAGACCACAGCACCGCAUGGUGCAGGGGUAAAAACUCCGGUGGUAUGAGAUGGACCCGCGUCUGAUUAGUUAGUUGGUGGGGUAACGGCCUACCAAGGCGACGAUCAGUAGCCGACCUGAGAGGGUGACCGGCCACAUUGGGACUGAGACACGGCCCAAACUCCUACGGGAGGCAGCAGUGGGGAAUAUUGCACAAUGGGGGAAACCCUGAUGCAGCGACGCCGCGUGAGCGAAGAAGUAUUUCGGUAUGUAAAGCUCUAUCAGCAGGGAAGAAAAUGACGGUACCUGACUAAGAAGCCCCGGCUAACUACGUGCCAGCAGCCGCGGUAAUACGUAGGGGGCAAGCGUUAUCCGGAUUUACUGGGUGUAAAGGGAGCGUAGACGGAGCAGCAAGUCUGAUGUGAAAACCCGGGGCUCAACCCCGGGACUGCAUUGGAAACUGUUGAUCUGGAGUGCCGGAGAGGUAAGCGGAAUUCCUAGUGUAGCGGUGAAAUGCGUAGAUAUUAGGAGGAACACCAGUGGCGAAGGCGGCUUACUGGACGGUAACUGACGUUGAGGCUCGAAAGCGU